rnacentral:rRNA from 1 species
GACAGAGGGUGCAAACGUUGCUCGGAAUUACUGGGCGUAAAGCGCGUGUAGGCGGUGCCGCACGUCGGGUGUGAAAGCCCGGGGCUCAACCCCGGAAGUGCAUUCGAUACGACGGCGCUGGAGGCUGGAAGAGGAGGGCGGAAUUCCCGGUGUAGAGGUGAAAUUCGUAGAUAUCGGGAGGAACACCAGUGGCGAAGGCGGCUCUCUGGACCAGUACUGACGCUGAGACGCGAAAGCGUGGGUAGCAAAC